rnacentral:lncRNA from 1 species
UCACGCUAUUAAGAAAGAUAUGCUUUAAAUGAUAAAUAAUUAACAAUAAUCUCUAAUGCAAAAAUUACUUUUGAAAUUAAAUAGAAAAAUAAAAUCUGUUAGGAAAUAAAUUUUUGAAAUUAAAUAGAAAAAUAAAAUCCGUUAUCUUAAAAAGAAAAUAUAUUUUGAAAUUAAAUAGAUAAUAUCUAAAAAAGAUAUUUUAAAAUAAAAUAGGAAAAUAUCUUUUAUAGGAUUUUCACACUCGUAAUCUGUUAUAGAAAACUUACUUUUGAAAUUAAAUAGAAAAAUUUAUAUUUUAGGAUUUUCACAUCUCUAAUCUGUUAUAGAGAACUUACGUAUUUAUUACUGUUUUUAUUUCUAUUUUUAUUCUUAUAUUUAAAAUUUUUCGUACGGAAAGAGAAAAAUGGACGCUAAUUUUUCCGCCAAAAAAUGGGUCUGUCGACAGACCCAAAUUUGAAUAUACAUGCUUUUAUAUAUAUAUAUAUAUAUAUAUAUAUAAUCUAUCAUUUUAUGUACAUGUCCCAUCC